rnacentral:lncRNA from 1 species
CUAAUCAAAUUUAUCCAAAUAUUGGUGCACAAGAGUGGGCAUGGGAAGGGCUUUGCGUGAGAGAAAAUUCAUGAGAAGUUUCUUCUCGUGAAUUCAAAUGGGCACAGAGAUAUGAGGUGGCGCAGGGAUUCAAAUUCAAAUGGUGGUUUAAUCUUAAUUGAACCAACCUAAUCAAAAUAGAUUAAGCACAAUUAGACUAAAUUAAACCUAACUUAAUUAGGUUUAAUUAGUCUCAAUAAAAUCUUAAUCAAAUUAGGAAUUGACUAAGCCCAACCCCUGAUCAAAUCAGAGACCAAACCAUCUCGACGAUUAGGUCAACUCUUAACCUAAUCGGGUCAAACCCAACAGAAUCCAAUUCAAUUGAACUUGGUCCAAAAAUAAUUACUCAAUCAAAUUAAAUUAAUUAAUGAUCAAAUCACUAAUUAAACCUCUCAUAAAUAUUGAGUCUAAAUUCGAUGGGCAAUCGGAUAUCAAAGUCCAUCAAUAUGAAAUCUUGAUCGAAGAGUCCCAAACCAGUGGGACUCUUGACCCCGGUACCCAAAAUAUGUGGGACUCAUGAUCAGAGAAUCUUGAUUCU